GACGAACGCUGGCGGCGUGCCUAAUACAUGCAAGUUGAGCGCUGAAGGUUGGUACUUGUACCAACUGGAUGAGCAGCGAACGGGUGAGUAACGCGUGGGGAAUCUGCCUUUGAGCGGGGGACAACAUUUGGAAACGAAUGCUAAUACCGCAUAAAAACUUUAAACACAAGUUUUAAGUUUGAAAGAUGCAAUUGCAUCACUCAAGGAUGAUCCCGCGUUGUAUUAGCUAGUUGGUGAGGUAAAGGCUCACCAAGGCGAUGAUACAUAGCCGACCUGAGAGGGUGAUCGGCCACAUUGGGACUGAGACACGGCCCAAACUCCUAAGGGAGGCAGCAGUAGGGAAUCUUCGGCAAUGGACGAAAGUCUGACCGAGCAACGCCGCGUGAGUGAAGAAGGUUUUCGGAUCGUAAAACUCUGUUGGUAGAGAAGAACGUUGGUGAGAGUGGAAAGCUCAUCAAGUGACGGUAACUACCCAGAAAGGGACGGCUAACUACGUG
rnacentral:rRNA from 1 species